UACGUAGGGGGCGAGCGUUGUCCGAAGUUACUGGGCGUAAAGCGCGCGUAGGCGGGAAAUUAAGUGAGAAGUGAAAGGCUGGGGCUCAACCUCAUGCAGUGCUUCUCAUACUGGUUUUCUUGAGGGCGGUAGAGAAAAGUGGAAUGGCAGGUGUAGCGGUGAAAUGCGUAGAUAUCAGUCGGAACACCGGUGGCGAAGGCGGCUUUUUGGGCCGUUCCUGACGCUGAGGCGCGAAAGCCAGGGGAGCGAACGGG
rnacentral:rRNA from 1 species